CCUACGGGCGGCUGCAGUGGGGAAUAUUGCACAAUGGGCGCAAGCCUGAUGCAGCCAUGCCGCGUGUGUGAAGAAGGCCUUCGGGUUGUAAAGCACUUUCAGCGGGGAGGAAGGCGGUGAGGUUAAUAACCUCAUCGAUUGACGUUACCCGCAGAAGAAGCACCGGCUAACUCCGUGCCAGCAGCCGCGGUAAUACGGAGGGUGCAAGCGUUAAUCGGAAUUACUGGGCGUAAAGCGCACGCAGGCGGUCUGUCAAGUCGGAUGUGAAAUCCCCGGGCUCAACCUGGGAACUGCAUUCGAAACUGGCAGGCUAGGGUCUUGUAGAGGGGGGUAGAAUUCCAGGUGUAGCGGUGAAAUGCGUAGAGAUCUGGAGGAAUACCGGUGGCGAAGGCGGCCCCCUGGACAAAGACUGACGCUCAGGUGCGAAAGCGUGGGGAGCAAACAGGAUUAGAUACCCGAGUAGUC
rnacentral:rRNA from 1 species